CUCUUAUAUUAUGUGACGGACGGAGUAGUACUUAAGCUACAUUAGCUUCAAUGUCAUAUUAAUCAUAUUACAAAGCAGCUCACUGUCCACAUAAAGGUUCAUCAAACCAUUAUCUCAGAGCAAUACCAUGUAACUGUUAUGACCGGUACAACGUACCAACGGAGGAGGCCCAAUGGGCAGGGUUAAUUACGGGCUUAGCCCAAGUUAUCUUACCUAUCUUAGAGUCCAAGUUAUAUUAGAGUCCAAGUUAGAGUCCAAGUUAUCUAGGGUUUAGUGGAGGCUGUCCUCCUAUAUAAACACAUGUACCCCUUCGGUAUUAAGCAGACAAUANAC
rnacentral:lncRNA from 1 species